rnacentral:rRNA from 1 species
UUAAAACUCAAAGAAAUUGACGGGGGCCCGCACAAGCGGUGGAGCAUGUGGCUCAAUUCGAUGCAACGCGAAGAACCUUACCUGGGCUUGACAUGUGACUGGAUGCCUGUCGAAAGACGGGAGGCCUUCGAGGCUGUCACACAGGUGCUGCAUGGCUGUCGUCAGCUCGUGCCGUGAGGUGUUAGGUUAAGUCCUGCAACGAGCGCAACCCCUGUGGUUAGUUGCUAGUUUUCGCCGAAAGGCGGAGAUGCACUCUAACCAGACUGCCUGUGAUAAGCAGGAGGAAGGUGGGGAUGACGUCAAGUCAGUAUGGUCCUUAUGUCCAGGGCUGCACACGUGCUACAAUGAUCGGUACAGAGGGAUGCAAGACCGCGAGGUGGAGCAAAUCUCCGAAAACCGAUCUCAGUUCAGAUCGAAGUCUGCAACUCGACUUCGUGAAGCUGGAAUCGCUAGUAAUGGCGCAUCAGCUACGGCGCCGUGAAUACGUUCCCGGGCCUUGUACACACCGCCCGUCACAUCAUGAAAGCCGAUUGCACCCGAAGUCGCUGAUCGAACCCGCAAGGGACGUAGGCGCCGAAGGUGUGGUUGGUGAUUGGGAUG